GCCUUGCUGUUUGCAGCCACCAUGAACUGUGGCCCCACCAUGCCAGCCUGCCUUGGAGCCAACUGAGUAUGGACUGAAACCUCCAAAAACUGCUCUGCCCAGCAAGACCCUGAAGGGCCACAGGUUCAGCUGCUCCUGGGACAGAAAACCACAGGAUGCAAUUGGCUAGGUGGGCAUGGAUACAGGUGCAGUCAGCUCAGCCUACGUGGAGCCCAGCAGUUUGUCCUCCAGGAUGGAGCUUCCCUGGGAAACCCUGCAGCUCACUGACCCACAGGCAACUUUCCUGACCAGCAGAGCUCAAGUCAGUGAAACUUUGCAUCAGAAAAAGCAAGAUCAGGAAGAUAGUGCGUGGCAUCCUGACUGCUCAGCCUAAGUUCAUAAACAUCUUUCCAACAUGGAGAAGCAUUUCCACUCCCGUAUGCCCAGCAGAAUGGAGAACUGAGAAUUAAGUUCCUCCCUGCUCCGCAUGAAGAUGAGUUUAAUAUAAUUAUUUGUAGCAAGUCCUAGAUAACCCAUUAUGGAUAAAAUGAAUUCUCAGCCUUGUUCUGAGCUGCUGAUGGGGAAUAAUUUAGCUCAUAAGUCAGGGCUGGCAAAAUGAGGCUUCACAUUUAGAGUUCAUGGAACGAAGAUGACUGGAUUUUCCAAGCUCAUUAACUUAUGCUGAGCUUCAUGAAUACUACAUGGGGUUCUGGGGGAGAGAGAGACACAGAGAGAGACAGGGAGAAAGAGAGAGAGAGAGAGAGAGACAGAAAGAAUGAGAGAGAGAGACAGAGAGACAGAGAGACCGAGAGACAGAGAGAGGAGUGAGGGAUUUACAGGUUUUGUAGCUUCCACGGGUGGAUGCAUAAUUCAUGGCAGAAUUCAUUCUGCUCAACGGAAAGUAAUUUCUCGUAGCGGCAUCCCAUGCAGCCUCUGACACACACACAUGGCAAGGCGUGUGGACCUGGGGAAGAACCUGGAACAGCUGGACAAACACUGCAGGCUGGUCCUUCUAGAGUCUUCCAGUACUUGUUUUGCUUUUGUGUGAGAGUCCUGACUUAAUGUUCUUUGGAUUCAACUCAUUAGCCACAGGCAGCAUUGAACACAGGCAUCAUCACAGACGGGAGACGCAGAGGAACUGGGACGCCCUCCUUGCGGGCUGAGAGCUUGCUGCUAAGCUCAGCAUGGAAUAGAGUGUAAUUAGCAUCUUCAUCUUCUGCACGAUGUCUCCUAGGUGAACACCAGGCGAGCUUGCACCAGGGGCGCCCAAGGAGCCCUUCUUGUCAAACUGGGUGUCCUCCCUGCCUGGGAAACAUCCUGGCUAGCUCAGCACACUGCCCUGUGCUCCCAGAGGGGCCAUGCUCCUGGAACAAGCCAAACACCCCACAUUCAGCAAGACCAAGCCUAGAAGGCACCUGUCAAUGCCCUAACCUGCGUCGGGGAGUCUGGAACCAGAGGCCAUAUCUGCCGAAGCCUACAGACCAUAAAACUUAGCUCACAAGGCUUGGAUCGAGGAGCAGGGGGUGGUGAUGCAGGCUCCUGCAGGGUUAGCGGAGUGUCUUUUUCUGGGGGGAACAAUUUUCACAGUUUGUGGGCUUUGUAUAUCUUUUCUUUCCUGAUUUAUGGGGCCGACUCAAUAGGAGAGCUGUGUUCCUCAGAGGAAGAGGAGGAAAGUGGGGUGGGUGGAGACGCAGAGGAGAAGAGACCUGGUGGGGGCGGAGGUGCUGGAUCCAGGGGUCCUGCUUGGCACACACUGGGGCCCCAUACAAACCCCAACUGUGGACACCCAUGACGUCCUUCAUCCUUGUAUAAAGCUGAGCAUGUAUUCUUGCUAAUCAGAAGCACUAUGUGUCCAUUGUUUGAGCAAGGGCAUGUGAUACAAGGAAUUGAGAAGAUGCAGAAGCUCUCAGUUCCUCUGCGCUGAGAUAACCACGAUUUAAAUCUCUGGCUGCUCUGCCGCAGGGCUUCCACACACGGAGAUGCCACAGAUGGAGCUCUGCUCCCUCCUGUGCUACCUGAAUGGCGCCAUCAGCAUUUCCCAUACCAAGAAAAUGUCUCUGGACCUGUGAUUCGUGGAUCUCUAAGUUAUAUUUUCAAUAAACAUAAAUUCCGUAUAAUAAUUAUUUGGGGGAAACUGCCCAGAGCCUAGAAAGAAGCCCACGACUUCACUACCAUGGCUCAGCAUCUCCCCACCACACAAGUGCCUUCCCCUACAUGCAUCCUGCCAGGAUAGUAACUCACGUGGCGGAUGCAGAGAGUGGAAGUGCUCCCUGGCCCUGCCUGACCUUCGGCAGUGUCCACCAAAGCUCUCCGUGACACUUGUGAGGGAGUAGGUCUUGGAGAAGCAGGCCACAGGGGUGACAGGACUGAGGGGUCUGCAGCUGAUUUGCUGCUCCAAGGGGGACAGCGCUGUCCCUCCCUGGCUCCUCUCCUCUGUCUCCACUUCCUGACACCAUGAUGCAAGCGGCGUCCCUCCACCAGGCCUUUCCACCAGGCCUUCCUUCUUUCUCAAAGCCCGAGGACCAUGGACUGAAAACAAACCUCACCUCUCUAUGUGGCGGGUGUCAGAGAUGGUAAAGCGUCCCUAAGGCAAGGCAAGAAAGGAAUAGAGAUGCCACUUGUACUCCACAGCAAAAUCACCCCUGUGCUGACUUCCUGGGAAGCCAGUCCUCUCCCUGUGGCUCAGGAGCUGCAUAAGAACAAACCUUGGCUCUGCCCUCGCAGUGGUGGCUCCUAAAGAGCUGUGCAGCCAGGCAGGUUUUCCCAGAGAGGCAAAACUGGGCCACUUCCCAGGUGGAAGACGCAUGUGUUUUAUGGCUUCUCCUAACUUGUCUCCUGUCCCUGAGCGCAUCCAAUGGGUGCAGGUGAUCACUUUCCCAGGUAGGGGGAGUUUUCUAGCCAGAGAUCCCUAGAGAGCUAACCAGAGGAGAGGCUCAGUUCCUUUGGCAGAGGCCUCUGACCCCAGACUGCUUGACAGGACGAGAGAUCAUCGCUGCUGAGUAGAAGCUGUGCCCUGAAGUCAGCACCCCCAGGAAUGGUAGCAGGAUGGACUGAGAGCCCGCAGUCUCCUCACCCCUUGGGACUGCAACUCCAGGGUGUCCAGGGCCUCUGGCAGUGAAAGAAGAGGUCCUCCUAGUCUGGCUUGGGUUUCUGCAAACAACUCUGCUGGGAGCUGAGCUAGAUGGAUGGCAUC